rnacentral:rRNA from 1 species
UACGGAGGGGGCUAGCGUUGUUCGGAAUUACUGGACGUAAAGCGCACGUAGGCGGCUUUGUAAGUUAGAGGUGAAAGCCCAGGGCUUAACCCUGGAAUUGCCUUUAAGACUGCAUCGCUAGAAUCGUGGAGAGGUGAGUGGAAUUCCGAGUGUAGAGGUGAAAUUCGUAGAUAUCAGGAGGAACACCUGUGGUGUAGACGGCUUUCUGGACCAUAGCUGACGCUGAGACACGAAAGCGUGGGUAGCAAACAGG